ensembl:lncRNA
UUGUGUCCACUGUUCAAAUCUUUAAGGACAGAGAGUGUGAGGGAUGAUUCCAAGUUCACACUUCUACGCAAGGCCUUAGGUUCUGCAUAAAUUGAGUUCUGACGGCCCGUGUCAGAUUCUGGCCCAGGAAUUCUUCUCUGGGUUGACCGAGAGUCUGGAUAGAUGCGGUUGCCGCCACGUUCUGGGCUAGGGGGUCUCCUUGGCAAUCUGAUAUCCCCAGCAGUCAUAUUCUUUCGAAUGGGCUCAGUUUGGACUGCUUCAUCCUUUGGGCAAAUCAAAGGCCUCCGGGGAACUCUGACCCCUUGUGGGUAUUGGACCUUGGAGGGUGGCUCGUCUUCUAAGAGUGUGAAGUCAUCCUUCUGGUCGACAAAACUCAACCGGCGAGAGGAUUUGGCCUCUGGAAUUAACGAGAAACGAUUACUGAUGUCGCGUCCUGGCCUGAUCUCAACCCCUCUUCUAGUUGCUUCCUCUCUGGACGGACUGACAUUCUGCUGCACCUGACCGGUGUAGAGCAUCGACUCGCCCUGAGUCAGCUUUCGAGAAGGAGAGGCCUGGCGGGAUGUAUCAGUUCUGGAUCGGGUCUCGGUUCGAGGGUUGGGUGCUCCAGAGGGGCCUGGCCCUGACUGAGGGGAGCUAGAGCGAAGGUAGUCUGAUGAUAAAUGGAGAGCAGUGGCGUGCCCAGCUUCUGAUCUUCGAUGGCCUAUUGGGAUCGUGGAGGCUGGACCACUCCGCUGGCUCGAGGAGAUAAGGUAUUGUCCCACUGAGAACCACAAACAGUAUCUGGAAAAUCCUAAUAAAGGCCAUAAUGGACUUAAGAGUUUAUCAACUUGGAUGCUCACAAAGGAACAGGUGAAAUAGCCUAGUACUUGGCAUACACUCAUAACUCACCAUAUGAUGAAUAUGAGGAAAAGACAAACUAUCAGUGCUCAAGACAGUUCUGAACACAAGUGGAAUGAAUACCUUUAAGGUCAUUGGAAUUUUCCACUAGAGGAGAGGGUGUAACUGCAUACUCCAAACAGUCAAAAAAUUGACUCAUGAAAGGCUGCCCAAAGCAAGUUAAUCAAAUGCAAAAUAGGUUAAUGGAAAAAAGUACACAGUGAGAGAAGUGCUGAGUCCUGUGAAACAUGGAGAAAAGAGCAAAAGAGAAGCUGAUUGGACUGCUUAAUAAUGAAACAGCUCAGGAAAGACAAAAAUAUGGUGAGUCUCAAGAACUGUUGAAGUAAAAAGUUCUCCAAAAAAUCCAACUGUAUACAACUCCCAAACUCAUUUUAUGAACUCUAUCAAGAGCUUACCAGUCCAGAUGUAUUCAAUUGGUCAAGUUCUCCAUUUUGAUACACAUACAGUUUUUUUAAACUUUUUAUUUUGUGUUGGGGUAUAGCUGAUGAACAAUGCUGUGAUAGUUUCAGGUGGACAGCAAAGGGAUUUAGCCACACAUGUGCAUGUAUCCAUUCUCCCCCAAACUUCCCUCCCUUCCAGGCUGCCACAUAACAUUGAGCAGAGUUCCGUGGGUACACAUACACUUCUUCAACUGGUGUGGAAGUAAGCUCAACAUUCAGAAAACGAAGAUCAUGAAUCCGGUCCUAUCACUUCAUGGGAAAUAGAUGGGGAAACAGUGGAAACAGUGUCAGACUUUAUUUUUUUGGGCUCCAAAAUCACUGCAGAUGGUGACUGCAGCCAUGAAAUUAAAAGACGCUUACUCCUUGGAAGGAAAGUUACGACCAACCUAGAUAGCAUAUUCAAAAGCAGAGACGUUACUUUGCCAACAAAGGUUCGUCUAGUCAAGGCUAUGGUUUUUCCUGUGGUCAUGUAUGGAUGUGAGAGUUGAACUGUGAAGAAGGCUGAGCACCGAAGAAUUGAUGCUUUUGAACUGUGGUGUUGGAGAAGACUCUUGAGAGUCCCUUGGACUGCAAGGAGAUCCAACCAGUCCAUUCUUAAGGGGAUCAGCCCUGGGAUUUCUUUGGAAGGAAUGAUGCUAAAGCUGAAACUCCAAUACUUUGGCCACCUCAUGUGAAGAGUUGACUCAUUGGAAAAGACUGUGAUGCUGGGAGGGAUUGGGGGCAGGAGGAGAAGGGGACGACAGAGGAUGAGAUGGCUGGCUGGCAUCACUGACUCGAUGGACGUGAGUCUGAGUGAACUCCGGGAGUUGGUGAUGGACAGGGAGGCCUGGCGUGCUGCGAUUCAUGGGGUUGCAAAGAGUCGGACACGACUGAGCGACUGACCUGAACUGAACUGAUCUUGUUUUAUAGAAAAGAAGUGUAAGGGUAUUUACAAGUCAGCCAUCUUGAGGCCCCUAAGG